rnacentral:ncRNA from 2 species
GGGUCGGAUACGGGAGAAUCCGGCGGGUCCGCUGGGCCGCGCCGGUGCCGAAGGAGCAACCGCCCCGGUAAACUCUCAGGCGCAAGGGACCGUUUCCGGCAA